UAUGUCUCUACGUUAUUCUCGUGGGGGGAGUUCUUUUGUGAGUACUGCGGCUUCAGAAAUUCAGGCUGUUUGUUUGGGCUGUGAGUGGGAUGAAGAGAAGCAUUUUUAGAAGUUUAUCUUUUAGUUGUUCUUUUUUGCUGUAGCAUAUGUAGAGAGUUCUGGCUUUCCCCUAAGCUUUUGCACUGCAGAAGCUGUGAAGAGCAGCACUCUGGAUGCCAGUAUUACCUGCCAGCUUUUUAUCUUCUCCCAGAGAUGUCGAAACUCGUCAAAGUUUAUCUUCCCUGAGCCGUCUGUCUGCGAUGUGAUGUUCAGCGAUUACCUUCAGGAAGUUACUUGGAAGUUCCUGAUUUACCUCAUGACUGGCUCCGCUGCUGUGUGUGCCCGAUAGAAGAGUGUGUACAAGUAGGGCAGCAGGACGUAGCGCUCUCUGAUGGCUUCCCUGAUGAUCUGGGUGUUCCUCUCCCCAAAGAGCCAUGGUUCUCGCCGUUUGCUCUCCAUGUUAGAAUGACCUCUGAAGAAGGGCUGGUAGGCUCCAGCCUGAUACCAGCGAACAAGUAACUCUGGUUCUGGAUCUCCAAUAAACCCUCCCACGUCAGCUAGACAGUGCACAAACAAAAACUCACAGCUUUGGAAAUCAUUCUAAAAAACCUGAACUCCUCUAACAAGCAUUCCAAGCGCAACCUGUGCAUUUCACAGUGUGCUUGCAGUUCUGCUGGUAGGCAGCUGCUUGUCCAAAUGAGUGGAAAUCUGUUACAACAAGUUACCCUUCAAUAAAAAUCUCAAGAGAGCUUUCAGAUGCCCCAAUGACAGGACCAUCACAGUGAUUCUACAGUACACCACCUAUGGCUGGCUCUUCCAGAUGGGAUGCAAAGACUACAUAAGUAGUAGCAGAGAAAUGAUGGUGAGAGCCCAGUUAUUGGCUUCUGGAACCAGACUAUUUUGUGAAACUGCACUGCAUUGUUGAGCUUUCCACUGCUGGUGUUCAGGUCUCUCUUGGGAUACAAGCUUGUCAACACCAGCAAUUUAUGUACAGUGAGCAAAUGCAGCUAAACACCUUACCUCCACAGAACGAAAUCCCUGCCAUGCUGAGGGUGAGAAGCAUUGGAAUGGAUAUUUUCAAAUAACUCCACUCUGCUGUGUUGUCUCCAGUCCACACUGCCCCUGGAAAUACCCAGUUUCAGCAUUACACCUGGAUGUUGGGCAUAUGAUUCAGUUUAUACUUGCAGUUAAAGGAAGAAGACAAGAACGAUCAUGAACUAUUGGUGAACUGCUGUUCACUGCAACACUUUUUCUCUGUACAUGCAUACUCAGGAAAUAGUCAACAAAAUCAGGGAGUGGUUUGGAACAGAACACAGGCCUGUUCCGUCCUUAACUUGUACACACUUUCUUAGUCUCUCCUGUUUUUUAAUUUUUUUUAUUUUUUUAAAAUCUAACCUUCUGUCUUCUCUAGCUUUAACUAUUACAUACCAAACUGAAGAGAUCAAAGCAGCAUGGAAAGCAUCCAGCUAGUCCCUACUUACCAUACUUCUGUGAUCCCGCAAAGAAAGAUCGUGUGAGGACAAAUGGUCUCUCUUUUCCUGAAGAACGUCUGAUGAGGCCUUCUGCAGUUGCCAUUUGCUAAAAAUCAUUUAUAUAAAAGUCAGGAAGACAAACUCCACAAUUAGGUUACCUGAGGUACUGUCUUUUUAGCCCUUCCAAGGGAAGAAAAUUAAGAAAUCUGUAUCCAAAUACAAUACUUACUAAAGCAACACUUUCUUACUAGAAUACACUUGAACAACAACCACAACAGAUUAAUAUUGUGUAGUUCUGGCCAAUAUAAUUUCCAUUGUCACAGUAGGAAGACAUGGACGUUACAUUUUUUUGUGACCAAUACCACAGUUUAUUACUAAUACAACAAUAUCUGGCACAGCAGAGUUUCAGUCCUUAAUAGAGGUUACAGGAUGCUUACUAGUGUGUAAAUCACCUUAUUAGACAUACUCCUACUGCCAGUUUGUCUGAUACUCUACCUGAUAGAAUCCGUAGAGGUUGUGUACUUCCCGAUGCUCCCAGUUGUUGUAGUGCACAGCAUCUUUCUGCAUUGUUAGUUCUGCUCCUUUGAAGACCGAGGGCUCAUUCAUGUCAUUCCAUACAUAGAGGAUGUUAGUGGAUCCCUAGGAUGCAGGAUUACAGUUAGGAUGUAACAGAGCCACUGCUGUGCCUUAAUGUGUUAACCUCUGCUGGGUGUCAGAUCAGUUUGGGGUCUGACCAGAAAUAGCAGCAGCAAAGCAGGACAAGAUAACUAUGUUUUUGUGGUCGCUUGAAAUAAGCCAGUCACUCAUCUCCUGUCUCUUGGUUGCUGCUCAGGGUGGCAGCCUGCAAGCCCACUUCUAUUAUUGUUUCAAGACGCAGUAGGUACUUGCUAUUCCUGCCUUCUGGAGAGGAAAAGUAGGAAGGGAAAGAGAAAUAUUAACUAACAUGAGAGAAAAAUAUCACAGAAGGCCAAAAGGAAAAAAAAAUGGAAAGGAGAAGCAGUAUAGGAAGUGUUUGCUAGGACAGUGGUUUCAACAACUUUACUAUAAAGCAGAACUUCAGGAUGGGGGUGAGGUGGGACUGUAAGUAAUCAUCAGUGUUCCACUUUCAGCACCAGACAGGAGUGCUGGAGGGAAGGUCAGAGUGAAGUUAUGAGAGAGCGCUCCCACAUUGCUUCCUUUUUGUCCAUCCUAUUGCUGCAACUAAGCAAGCAGGUUCACUGGUGGCACAGGGGUUCCAACUUCCUUAGUGUAGACAAGUCCAUGGAGAAAAUCCUUCUCUGGUACUUCAGCUUAUCACGGUAUUCUCUUCUACAUGUUGAUAAGACAGCAACGGAAGUCACCAACUUACUCAACCUUUAAUCUUCUCUCUUUGACCCCUUUUUAGGCUUUCUGGGAUACAUUUCUCAGAAAACAUAAAUACAAACCUUGUAAGCUUUGAAGGCGAAUUGUUCUGCGUACCAUUUCCGCACUUCAGGAUUGGUGAAAUCCAGGUAGCAGGAGGAACCUGUGGAUGCGGGAAAGCCCAAUUAUUUACAUGAGUUUAAGAUCAGGGGUGCCUUGUCUUUGCACCUAAAUACAGGAACCUAACGCUGGGAGCCUUUCCACAAUGGGAAGCAAUAACGUAGUCAUUAUGGUCUGAGACAAAAGCUCGAGAGAAUUCUAGGCUGACUCAGAACUCAGUGCACUCUUUGCCACAUCCUGCAGACUGAUGCUUGUGGAUUCUGGAGGAGCAGCACCAUUUAAGGGUGACUGCUAGCAGACUGAAAUAGGUUCAGAUAUGAAUAAGAAAGCAGGGAGAGAAAGAAUUCCCAGAAUGUUGAGCUCAAGCAGCAAAGUGUCACUGAGCUAAAUGACAUCUUGCUAUGCUUCUAGAGUUGUAAUGUGUCCUUUGUUUUUUCCAUAUUCACUUGUCAAGACUGUGAGCUUUCUAGUUGUAAAAAAGGGGCACAACCUCCUUUGCCUCUUUUUAAUGCUACUUCCUCAUGAAAAAUAACAUGUCAAAUCUAUUUAUGAUUGAAUCAGUCUUCAGUAUCAGAGUUCACUUAAUUAUAUCCAGCCUACAUGGGCUGUGCUCACUGUAAUAGACCAGGCUGCAUGUGCAUUUCUGUUACCCAAGACAAGCUGAGAAGGAGGAUGGCUAUUCUGACCAAUAAAUCCAACUUCUUUAGUUCUAGGCAUUGGGACUAUCUGCAGGGCUAACUGGCAUAACAGAGAAAAUGAUAAAGCUGAUGCCACUGGAACAUGACUGUACCAAAGAAACCACAAAGCAUUUCAAAUUAUAAUUGUUUACCAGAAAUAAGUGGAUUUGAAAAAUCAAAUUCCACUUCUUUGGGUUCCAAUUAAACUAUUCUGCAAAAUGUUUAAAAUAAGCAGCUUGAAAGGUGGAGAUAGGAUGUUCUCUUACCUGGCCAACAGAUGCCUUCAAAGUCUUUCCCAUUUCUGUCUUUCACAAAAUAUCCCUUCUCUUUUGCCUGUGCAUACAGGGCAUACAUGGGGUCAACCUUAAUGUGGGGAUCUACAAUGACGACAAGCUGCCAGGAUAAGAAAACAAAAUGCAUCAUUAGCAUCAACUGUACUAAAUAAACCAGCAAGAGUUUGCUUUUGAUAAAAGGCAGACAAUGGUUUCACUUCAGGUAGAGACAGAUGUGUUACUAAUUUUAGAAAGGUGCUACUAAUUUUAUAAAGCGGUUACCAGUUCUUGCAUAUAUUGUGUUAGACUCAUGUGUAGUAGCUGAAAUUACAAAGAGGGCAGAACUUAACACCCUCUAUAUGGGGCCAAAACCCAUUUCAGCUAAACACAAGUACUCCAACCCCUAGAAAUGCUGUUUAAUUCACUGUUCUACUCUCUGGAUGGCAAAAUAUCUCACUUUGUGUUUAUGUUCCUGCUUAAUUUCUGUUGAGACAUAUAAAUAUAUCUUAGUUUCUAUAGCAUGCAA